rnacentral:rRNA from 2 species
CGCCUAAUCUGCCAGUCGAGCGAAUGGAUUAAGAGCUUGCUCUUAUGAAGUUAGCGGCGGACGGGUGAGUAACACGUGGGUAACCUGCCCAUAAGACUGGGAUAACUCCGGGAAACCGGGGCUAAUACCGGAUAACAUUUUGAACCGCAUGGUUCGAAAUUGAAAGGCGGCUUCGGCUGUCACUUAUGGAUGGACCCGCGUCGCAUUAGCUAGUUGGUGAGGUAACGGCUCACCAAGGCAACGAUGCGUAGCCGACCUGAGAGGGUGAUCGGCCACACUGGGACUGAGACACGGCCCAGACUCCUACGGGAGGCAGCAGUAGGGAAUCUUCCGCAAUGGACGAAAGUCUGACGGAGCAACGCCGCGUGAGUGAUGAAGGCUUUCGGGUCGUAAAACUCUGUUGUUAGGGAAGAACAAGUGCUAGUU